UUCCAUUUAUUCUUAGCUCAGCCGAAGAUGUUCUCAGGUUUCUGCCAUAUGCUGCAUGUCACAGAAGGAGUAAUCAAAAAACAGUAAGGGAAAGAGUUUCAAGUAGCAGCAUUUAUAACCCAGUGUCAGCAAUACUGAGACAUCUCCCAGCUUGAAAGAAUCACAGAAUGAUGGGGAUUUGGAAGAGACCUCUGAGGACAGAAAG